UUAGAGAUCUUGAUCGGAUGGCUUGUUGGUAACAUGUAAACCAGGCCCGGCCCAAGGCAACAAAAAUUUAGGCCCACUUUAUAAGCCCAAUGAUAUAGCGUUGCUCUGCUUAUAAGACUGAGGAGGGCAGUGUGGGCGCGAACAACUCAAAGUUUUCGACUGCAGAUCGUCACUCAGAAACUAGAAACAAUCGCAUCGAUUUCAAAUGUCUUUGUUACUUUUAAAGUCGCCGAUCUCUUAGAUAAGAAGUGUUAAGAUGCCUUGUCGUUUUCGAAAAAAAAAAAAUCCAAAUCAGGAAGGAGACUUGUGGAGGAUAUGGGCGGUGGAGUAGAGAACAACAAGUCAACAACAAGACUGAGGAACUGCUUAAAUGACGUCGUAUUGUUUAUCUAGUUAUCUAGAUAUUGGGUCGCCAGAUGAGCUGGGAACUGGCGUAAACAUAGGAGCCCAAAGUACACAUCAGCCCAAACGCAAUAUCCGAUCCAGAGUAAAAAUAACCCAGACUUUUGUAAUCAUGCUGAGUUGGCACUUUCAAAAUUCACCAUAAUUUUUCAAAAAUCUUAUAAUGCAUGCACUUAUUUCUAAACAAAAAAAAAAAAAAAAAAAAUCCAAAACUGAAUCCCACUUUUGUAUCGAUGAUUCGAUGCUAUAGUUAAAUGACAUUUUACCCUUGGUUCUCUUUGAAUCAAUGGGUCGCUAACCUUGCCUUUUUCUUAUUUUGGUACGUUGGAUACUUAAUUCUUCUCAUGUCGUGAUAACAUCUUUCCUUUUAUUGUAUCAUUUUACCUUUUGGUACGUUGAAUCCCACUUAUUUUUUGUUUUUUGUUUUUUAUUUGUAUUUUGAUAAGUCUCCAUAAAUUUUAAAAUUCUUCUUUCUUGGAUAACA